GACAGAGGCCCCAAGCGUUAGGCGGAAUCACUGGGCUUAAAGCGUGUGUAGGCGGAUCGUUAAGUGUCUUGUGAAAUCCCACGGCUCACCCGUGGAACUGCUGGGCAUACUGGCGAUCUUGGGCCAACUAGGGGCAGCCGGAACAAGCGGUGGAGCGGUGAAAUGCGUAGAUAUCAGGAGGAACACCGAUGGCGAAGGCAGGUCUCUGGGCAUUAACUGACGCUGAGGAGCGAAAGCAUGGGGAGCGAACAGG
rnacentral:rRNA from 1 species